rnacentral:rRNA from 1 species
GUGUCAGCAGCCGCGGUAAUACGGAGGGUGCGAGCGUUAUCCGGAAUCACUGGGUUUAAAGGGUGCGCAGGCGGCCCGUUAAGUCAGCUGUGAAAUCGCUGGGCUCAACCCAUGCAAUUGCAGUUGAUACUGACGGGCUUGAAUGGGGUUGAGGCUGGCGGAAUGCGACAUGUAGCGGUGAAAUGCUUAGAUAUGUCGCAGAACACCGAUUGCGAAGGCAGCCAGCUGGGCCUUUAUUGACGCUGAGGCACGAAAGCGUGGGGAGCAAACAGGAUUAGAUACCCUGGUAGUCCACGCCCUAAACGAUGCUCACUUGCUGUUCGGCCGUAAGGCGGAGUGGCGUAGGGAAACCGUUAAGUGAGCCACCUGGGGAGUACGCCGGCAACGGUGAA